ensembl:lncRNA
UUGCAAAACCACACAAAAGUACAAAUCUGAUAAAGAAUUAAAUUGUAAAUUUGUCAAAAUACAAUACAAAAACCAUCUAAAAUACAGCAGAAAUCUAUUGCAGGCCUAUAUAUUCCUGAGUGCUGGAUAUGAUCCACAGUAACAAUAAAUGAGAAUGGAAAUUGAUCAAAUUCUGGGCGUAAGAUACACUGUUCACACACGGUUCCCAGGCCCUGCUAGUCCACUUCAGACCCACCACCUCCUCCCCUCCCUAAAGAACCUCCCUCCAGGAAGUCCUUUCACAACGCACUCAUCGUCAUCCACAGAGCCGUAGUCUUCAUCCUGUCCUCCGGGGGCAGAAAGCAGAAGGAGGGGCAGACGUGUGGCGUAAUCCUUGAGGUUACGAGUCGGUGAUUGAGCGGAACUGGCCCAGGAGUUGGAGUGGGGGGUAAUCCCUGAGGUGAAGGGUCCUACCCUGGGGGGUAAUCCCUGAGGUGGAAGGUCCUACCCUGGGGGGUAAUCCCUGAGGUGAAGGGGUCCUACCCUAGGGGGUAAUCCCUGAGGUGAAGGGUCCAACCCUGGGGGGUAAUCCCUGAGGUGAUGGGUCCUACCCUGGGGGGUAAUCCCUGAGGUGAAGGGUCCUACCUUGGGGGUAAUCCCUGAGGUGGAGGGUCCUACCUUGGGGGUAAUCCCUGAGGUGGAGGGUCCUACCCUAGGGGGUAAUCCCUGAGGUGGAGGGUCCAACCGUGGGGGGGAUUCCCUGAGGUGAAGGGUCCAACCCUGGGGGGUAAUCCCUGAGGUGAUGGGUCCUACCCUGGGGGGUAAUCCCAGAGGUGAGGGUCCUACCCUGGGGGGUAAUCCCUGAGGUGAAGGGUCCUACCCUGGGGGGUAAUCCCUGAGGUGGAGGGUCCUACCCUGGGGGGUAAUCCCUGAGGUGAAGGGUCCUACAGUGGGGGGGUGGGGGUCGUCAGUAGGUUAUGAUGAGUGUCAGUAUCCUGUUCCCUUCUGUAGGCGGGGCCAAGAGGGUCUAGCUGCAGACCUCUCUCUCAGGCUGAGAGAGGAUCCUGAACUGAUCCUGGACCAGUUUACAGUCCCCCCAUAGAAGAAUAACAUGACGGGAACAAUAAUUAACGUCGACUUUUGAGGGAGAAUUUAAGAAAACCUAUAUACAUGUCGCGGAAACGGUGAUCCCCUUAUAGGAAGUCCCGCCCACCCUCUCGCUAAUAUCGCCCAUUCGGAGCAUCCCGUUCCAGGCAUCCCGUCUUUAGAUGAGGACGCCUGGAAACAACCGGGUAAAGGCUGCUGAAUGUUUUAGAUUGUUCUUCCUUUGUAUUUAACCUCACUUCCAUAUCCCCAUGUAGCAGGCCUAGGACUAUUUUACAUGUAUCCUUUUUAUGUUAAGUAAAAGAUUAAGAUCCAGAGUUAUGAAAUACUUAUUCUGUGUUACUAUGGCUGUAAUACAAACUCCUGAAGACUGCAAUAUGCUGACAUUUGCAAAGAUUGACAGUCAAGAUCAGAUGUUGGAUGGUAUGUGGCACUGACUAUCAGAUAAUAAAUUAAGCUUCUGUCUGUUAUUCGUCUGUUCUUGUCUCCUGGCAGCAAUGUCCUCACACUCUGCCAAAACAUCCCAACUUCUUUCCACAUGCUGGCUACUCUUUUCUGAGCAGCACAAAUAUCUGAAUCUACUCCAGGUUCAUCGAACGGCCGGUUCCAUGGUAGACAGCGACAUCUAGUGGAUGAUUAUAUUAAACACCAAUUUCACUGACACCAUAGCAGAUAAGAUUAAGAUGAUUCCUUU